AUUGAACGCUGGCGGCAUGCCUUACACAUGCAAGUCGAACGGUAACAGGUCUUCGGAUGCUGACGAGUGGCGAACGGGUGAGUAAUGCAUCGGAACGUGCCUAGUAGUGGGGGAUAACUACUCGAAAGAGUGGCUAAUACCGCAUGAGAUCUACGGAUGAAAGCAGGGGAUCGCAAGACCUUGUGCUACUAGAGCGGCCGAUGGCAGCUUAGGUAGUUGGUGGGAUAAAAGCUUACCAAGCCGACGAUCUGUAGCUGGUCUGAGAGGACGAUCAGCCACACUGGGACUGAGACACGGCCCAGACUCCUACGGGAGGCAGCAGUGGGGAAUUUUGGACAAUGGGCGCAAGCCUGAUCCAGCAAUGCCGCGUGCAGGAUGAAGGCCUUCGGGUUGUAAACUGCUUUUGUACGGAACGAAAAGCCCUGGGUUAAUACCCUGGGGUCAUGACGGUACCGUAAGAAUAAGCACCGGCUAACUACGUGCCAGCAGCCGCCGUAACAC
rnacentral:rRNA from 1 species